rnacentral:rRNA from 1 species
AACGGGUGGUAAUGCCGGAUGCUCCGACUCCUCGCAUGGGGUGUCGGGAAAGAUUUCAUCGGUAUGGGAUGGGGUCGCGUCCUAUCAGGUAGUCGGCGGGGUAACGGCCCACCGAGCCUACGACGGGUAGCCGGCCUGAGAGGGCGACCGGCCACAUUGGGACUGAGAUACGGCCCAGACUCCUACGGGAGGCAGCAGUGGGGAAUAUUGCACAAUGGGCGCAAGCCUGAUGCAGCGACGCCGCGUGCGGGAUGACGGCCUUCGGGUUGUAAACCGCUUUUGAUCGGGAGCAAGCCUUCGGGUGAGUGUACCUUUCGAAUAAGCACCGGCUAACUACGUGCCAGCAGCCGCGGUAAUACGUAGGGUGCAAGCGUUAUCCGGAAUUAUUGGGCGUAAAGGGCUCGUAGGCGGUUCGUCGCGUCCGGUGUGAAAGUCCAUCGCUUAACGGUGGAUCUGCGCCGGGUACGGGCGGGCUGGAGUGCGGUAGGGGAGACUGGAAUUCCCGGUGUAACGGUGGAAUGUGUAGAUAUCGGGAAGAACACCACC